GUGAAAGUCACGGCGGUCCGUCGAGGUUCGCGAAGAGCUGCGCCAAAACACGUCAUUUACACUGCUGUACCGUGUCGUUUCGCGUUCAAAGGAGAACCUGGAUUGCUUUAUGAAGAAAUAACUAUUCGACUUGACCAGCACCGCGCCAGUAUUGCGCGGACAACACCAGCAAUAGCGCCUCCCAGGGCCUCAUCUCCACCUACUUUUGAAUGUGUAAAAAAUGAACCUUUUCUGUGAUUUUAAC